CUAUCGAGCAACAAUCAAAGAU
rnacentral:miRNA from 10 species